UCUAAUGCUUGGAUCGAGCUCAGAGAGCGUGAAAUCACCAACGCUGUUUGAUAUGAAUGCAGCGACGAUGGAAGAAGACAAGGAAACGUUUCGUCAGCGUCUGUUAAUGAUUUCCCAGCAAGUGAAAGAUCAAGAGUCGACUAUGAAGAAGAUCGACAGCCUACUGAAUGAACUUCUUGCACUACAAGAAAAUGGCCGGAGAAACGCAGAGACAACAAACAAGGAAGUUCACUGCAGGCUCCAACGGCUAGCUUUUCAGUCGGAAUCUGGUUCAAUGGGAAGAGUAAGAAGGAGUUUUACUGAGGCCGAGGGGAAGAAGAAAGUGCCAUCAAGAGG